UACGGGGGGGGGCAAGCGUUGUUCGGAAUUACUGGGCGUAAAGGGCUCGUAGGCGGCCAACUAAGUCGGAUGUGAAAUCCCCAGGCUUAACCUGGGAACUGCAUCUGAUACUGGAUGGCUUGAAUCCGGGAGAGGGAUGCGGAAUUCCAGGUGUAGCGGUGAAAUGCGUAGAUAUCGGGAGGAACACCAGUGGCGAAGGCGGCUACCUGGCCCACUCUUGACGCUGAGGCGCGAAAGCUAGGGGAGCAAACGGG
rnacentral:rRNA from 1 species